rnacentral:rRNA from 1 species
UACGGAGGAGACUAGCGUUGAUCGGAAUUAAUGGGCGUGAAGCGCACGUAGGCGGGUUUGUAAGUCAGGGGUGAAAUCCCGGGGCUCAACCUCGGAACUGCCUUUGAUACUGCAAAUCUCGAGUCCGGAAGAGGUGAGUGGAAUUCCUAGUGUAGAGGUGAAAUUCGUAGAUAGUAGGAAGAACACCAGUAGCGAAGGCGGCUCACUGGUCCGGUACUGAAGCUGAGGUGCCAAAGCGUGGGGAGCAAACAGG